rnacentral:lncRNA from 1 species
CUCAUGAAAUGGAGAGGGGUAUGUAAGAGCAGCCAUGGCUUCCUGUGCUGCUAGGACACUUUCCUCACUUAGAGGAUGAGCUUUCCAGCUAGUUAGCUUUCCGGUGUAUUCUUUUUCACAACCAAGUUAACCUGGAGCAGAGACAGCCCUGGGCCUUUUGUGGCUGCUCCUCCAGAAGGUCGCCUGUCCACAGACUACUCCCUGGCCCUGAGAAGCAGUGAUUCAGAACACAGUCUCAACAGAAGAAGGAUGAAAUGCUCCCACGCUUGCCGCCCUCUGCUCUUUUACAGGUCUUGAGUUGUCGCUGGCCUUCCUGAUCACAUCUUCCACCCCCAACCCAUAUUCCCUUUCUCCUCUUCAGGCAUCUUGGCUGGCCAUGGCCCUCAGUCCUCUACCUGGUAGGGGACACAAACUUUCAUUCCGGAAGGGUCUGAGACAUUCAUAGUUCAUCUGGACUGGCUAUUUGCAGUUUUCAACUGACCUCAGUCACAGGACAUGGCAGUACUAAUAACAGACAGGACUUGGGGGAUCUCUUCUUGAACCUCGCUGACCAGAUGUUUAAAAUAUUUAGUGUUGUGUUGAACAUGGGGAGUCGGGCUAAAGGGCACCCAUGAGGCGUAAGCAUAUUGAAGAUGACUGUAAGAGGGGGACAAGAUGCUCACCUCCUGUUAUUAGUCUUGAUGCGUGUGGGACUGGACAAAGCAGAUUUAAAUUGAAGCAAGAUAAACUUGGAUCAGACAAAAAAGGGAGUCUUAAAGAAGAGCAGAUUUAGGUUCUGCAGGGUAUAAUAAAGACAGCUUUCAUUUCCCCCCCAGGAGAAGAUCAACAACAGGAGACAGAGGGACCCCUCUAGAGGCAGGAGGAAAGAUAAAUGGCCACAGGCUGCUGUCAUCUAGGCCAGGGUUCUGGCAGCAAUGAAAACACGUCUGCAGGAGGAGAAAGAAGUGCUUUUGAAUCCAUCUUACUCAUCGUCUGUCUCUUGUCUCUUCAAAGUGAAUGCAGUUGGAAGGAAAGGGACAGGCCAGGGCAGAAGUCACAAUGGCUGCUUGGACCGUGGAAGCCUGAAGCCUGGUCCCUAAAGUGAAUAUGGUCUUGGCAACAUCAGAACUGCCAAGAGCCAAGGUUUCCUUAUUGGCUAAAUUAAAUCACAAUCCUCCCCUGGCUAACCUAGAACUCUGGGAAUCAAAUAUACCAAUAAAAUGUCUGUAAAAGCACUGUUUGAAUUUGCAUUUGCACCACUACUCUUAGCAGAGGAAGCGGCAGCCUGAGGCUGGUGUGAGCACUGGGCUGGGAGUCAGCGGUUCUAAGCGUGAGCCCCAGCUCUGCAACCUACCAGCCUAUUUGGGACUCUCCAUUUCUCAUCUGAAAAUGCGUAGGCCGGAAAUAGCUGCUGCCCUGCCUGCUGUCAUCAUCUCAGUCACUGAACAAGUGUAUGGGGAUCAUCAGUCUGUAUCAGGUACCCUUGUAGACAUGGGACUGGCAUUGUGUGUUCAGACACGGGCCCUGACUGCACGUCUCACAUCCCAGUGGUGAGGAGACAGACAGCAAACAGGUAGGUAAUUAAAUAAAUACGAUCAUUUAAUCUUCUUUAUGUGUGUGGUGAUGCUGGCAUAAACAGACAUACUGCUCUGCCAGUCCUAUAAAAGUCUAGCACACACAAUUAUAUUCUGUACAUAAUAAGUGAUAAUGAUAAUAAAAGGUUUACUGAUUUACAUAUUUACUAUACUAUACUUGUUAUGGUUGUAGAGUGUGGGCUCCUUCUACUUAUAAAAAUAAGUUAACUGUAAAAUGGUCUCAGGCAUGUCCUUCAGGAGGAAUUCCAGAAGAAGGCAUCGCUAUCACAGGAGAUGACAGCUCCAUGUUAUUGCCCCUGAAGACCUUCCAGUGGGACAGGAUGUGGAGGUGUAAGACAGUGAUAGUGACAGUCCUGACCCUCUGCAGGCCUUGGCUAAUGUGUGUGUCUGUGUCUUAGAUUUUUUUUUUCCGGAGACAGAGUCUUGCUCUGUCGCCCAGGCUGGAGUGCAAUGGUACGAUCUUGGCUCACUGCAACCUCCGCCUCCUGGGUUCAAGAAAUUCUCCUGCCUCAGCCUCCUGAGUAGCUGGAAUUACAGGUGCCUGCCACCACACCCAGCUAAUUUUUGUAUUUUUAGUGGGCGAGGUUUCACCAUGUUGGCCAGACUAGUCUCAAACUCCUGGCCUCAAGUGAUCUGCCCUCCUUGGCCUCCCAAAGUGCUGGGGUUACAGCAUGAGCCACUGUGCCCAGCCUGUGUCUUAGUUUUCAACUGCAAAGUUUAAAAUGUUAAAAAAAGAAUUUGAAAACAGAAAAAAUCUUACAGAAUAAGGAUACAAAGAGAAAAUAUUUUUUACAGCUGGACAAUGUGUUUGUAUUCUAAGCUGAGUCAUUACAAAAGAGUCAAAAAGUUAAAAGCAUAGAAAUUUAUAAAGUAAAAAGUUACAGGAAGCUUAUUUUCUUUCUGAAGUUCAGUCUGGGUGCACAGUAGGCUCCACCAUCUGGCCUGGGUGCGCAGUGGGCUCCGCCAUCCGGCCUGGGUGCACAGUGGGUUCUGCCAUCCGGCCUCGGUGCGCAGUGGGCUGUGCCAUCCAGGUGUGUGUAAGUGUGCUCUGUGGUGUUCACACAAUGGCAAAAUCACCUAAUGACACAUUUCUCAUAACAGAGCCCUGUUGUUAAGGGAUGCGUGGCUAUAAGAAUGUCGCGUUCAGGGAGAAAUUGGGGCUGAGGACACAGAUGUGGCAGGAAUUGUGAAUUUGGUCGUUAAAGUUGUGGCACCUAAGGGACACACCCAGAUAGCAGGAGCGAGGAAAAGUCAAGAUCCAGCUCUAGACGAGCCCACAGGAAGAGGACUGGCUGAGAAGGGAGAGCUGACACAAGACAAGGAGAGGGAGGGAGGUGGCGCAGGUGAAAGGAGCCGGGGUGGAGUGAUGCAUGGUACCCCCUGCUGUUAGGGUGCAAUGAAAUACAAAAUAUAAUCCUUUCAAUAAGUUUUAAAGCACUGUUUAACUGUUAGUCACAGUGGGCCCCUGGGUGUGGGCGGAGGGAACAGCUGACCACAGCAAUGACGAAGAGAUGACAAGAAGCUACCUGGGCCACUGGUUCCUUGGCUCCCUGGUCCUGGAGGAGGCUGGGCUAGACUUGGGAGGAGGGGAGGAGGUGUCUCCUGCAGCCACCAGGACCAUGGCCGCCCUCCCUCACUUGCCGUGGGCCUCCCUCCCUCUGCUCUUCCCUCGCUCGCCACCUGGGGGUACUGGGUCACUUACUUCCACACUCAUUCUUCAAUGUCCACGAGCAAACCUGGAAAUGAGGGUGGCUAUACUCAGGACAGGAUCAGGGUCCAUGAUGUUGGGUGUUUACAGCGCCUCCCAAAAACGUCGUGAUACAGGACCAGGAACCUCCAGCGAGGGCCCUUCCCAGUCACACGGCAGCAGUGCAUGUGCACGUGGGGCCCAGGAUGCUUCAGAUCUGAAGGAACAC